rnacentral:lncRNA from 1 species
AAAUGUUGUUCCCCUUUUUGAUCUCCCCUCCAUGAACCUCUCACCUCAUUCCACCUCUCCUUUGCCUAUAAGAGGGUUCUCUCCCACCCACAUACCCACUCCUUCCUUGCCCCUCUAGCAUUCCUCUUCUCUGAGGCAUCAAGCUGCCACAGGACCAAGUGCCUCCACUCCCACUGACACAUGAUGAAUCACUCACUCUUCUGCUACAAAUUAGCUGGAAUCAUGGACCCAUCCAUGUAUACUCUUUGGUUGUUUGUUUAGUCCCUAGGAGCUCUUGGGGAUCCAGUUGUUUGAGUCUGUUGUUCUUCCUAAGGGGUUGCAAUACUCUUCAGCUCCUUCAGUCCUUCCCCGGACUCUUCCAUCAUGGUCUCUGGGCUCAGUCCAAAAGUUGACUGUGAGUAUCUGCAUCUGUCUUAGUCAGGUUCUAGCAGAGCCUCUCAGAGGACAGCCUUACCAGGCUCCUGUCUGCAAGCACAUUUUAACAUCAGUAAUAUAGUAGGGAUUUGGUGUCUGCAGAUGGAAUAAAUUCUAAGUUGGGGGGGGGGGAAUUCUCUAGGUGGCCUUUCCUUCAGUCUCUGCUCCAUUUUUUGACUCUGCAUUUCCUUUAGAUAGGAACAAUUCUGGGUUAAAAUUUUUGAGGGUGAGUGGCCCCAUCCCUCAACUGGGGGGGCCAUAUCUAUCUACUGGAGGUGGUCUCUACAGAUUCUACCUCCCCACUGUUGGGCAUUUCAGUUAAUGCCAUACCCAUUGGGUCCUAGGAGCCCCUUGCAUCCCUGGAUCUGGCACUUUCUAGUGGUUUCUCCUCCUCCCUCCAUUCCCCAACCCCACCCCCUGUGCCACAUAUUUCUAUUCCUUCUGCCAGUCCUUUGGACUUCUCUCCUGUCUCUUCUCACACUUGAUCCUGACCACCCCCUUUUUCCGUUUCUCUCCCCUCUACCACCCAGGUCCCUUUCUGUCUCUACCUCACAUGAUUAUUUUUUUCCCCUCCUAAGUGAGAUUGAACCUUCCACACUUUGGCCUCCUUCUUGUUAAUCUUCGUAUGGUCUGUGACUUGUAUCAUGGGUAUUCUGAGCUUUUGGGCAAAUAAUCACUUAUCAGGGAGUAGAGAUGAUGUAUAUCCUUUUGGGUCUGGGUUACCUCACUUGGGAUAUUUUCUAGGUCUAUCCAUUUGCUGCAAAAUUCAUGUAGCCCUUGUUUUUAAUAACUGAAUAGUAUUCCAUUGUGUAAAUGUAACACAUCUUCUGUAUUCAUUCUUCCAUUGAGGGAGAUCUGCAUUGUUUCCAGCUUUUGAUUAUUAUAAAAAAGGCUAUUAUGAACAUAGCUCAGCAAAUGUCUUUGUGGGAUAAUGGAGCAUCUCUUGGAUAUAUGACCAGGAGUUGUGUAGCUAGUUAUUCAGGAAUACUUAUUUCCAAUUUUCUGAGUAGCUGGCAGAUUGAUUUCCAAAAUGGUUGCAUCAGCUUGCAGUCCCACAAGCAAUGGAGGAGAGUUCCUCUUUCUCACUUCCUCACCAGCAACUGCAGUCACCUGAGUUGUUUUAUCUUAACCAUUUUGGCUGGUAUGAAGUAGAAUCUCAGUGUUCUUUUGAUUUACAUUGCCAUGAUAACUAAGGAUGUUGAACAUUUUUGUAGGUACUUCUCAGCCAUUCAAGAUUCCUCAGUUGAUAAUUCUUUGUUUAGCUCUGUACCCCAUUUUUUCACUGGGUUGCUUAAUUUUCUGGAGUCUAAUUUCUUGAGUUCUUUGCAUAUCUAAGAUAUUAGUCCUCUACCAUAUGUAGGGUUGGUAAAGAUGUUUCCCCAAUCUGUAGGGUGUCAUUUUGUCCUGUUGAGAGUGUCCUUUGCCUUACAGAAGCUUUCCAGUUUCAUGAGGUCCCAUUUGCCAAUUGCUAAUUUAGAGCCUCAGCCAUUUCUGUUGUGUUCAGGAAAUUUUCCCUGUGCCAAAAUGUUCUAGGCUAUUUCCCACUUUCUCUUCUAUUAGAUUUAGUGUUCCUAAUUUUAUGUUGAGGUCCUUGAUCUGCUUAGACUUCAGCUUUGUACAAGGAGAUAAAAAUGGAUCAAUUUGAAUUCCUCUACAUACAGACCAUGACCAUUUGUUGAAAAUGCUUACUUUUAGCUGGGCAUGGUGGUGGAAGCCUUUAAUCCCAGCACACGGGAGGCAGAGGGAGGCAGAUUUCUGAGUUCGAGUCUACCCUGGUCUACACCAUGAGUUCCAUGACAGCCAGGACUAUAAAGAGAAACCCUGUCCAAAAAACCAAAAAAAGAAAGAAAGAAAAAAAACAGAUUAUCCAUUCUGUAGAGGAAGAAUAUUGAUUUGUCUGAGUUAAUUUUAUUUCAGACACUUAUCUGAAGUUGUUUAUCAGAUGUAGGAGUUCUCUGUUAGAAUUUUGGUGAUCAACUAUGCAUACUAUCAUAUCAUCAGCAAAUAGCGAUACCUUGACUUCUUCCUUUCUCAUUUGUAACCCUUUGACAUCCUUUUGUUGUCUAAUUGCUCUAGCUAAAACUUCAACUGCUGUAUUGAAUAGAUGUGGAGAGAGUGAGCAGCCUUGUCUUGUCCCUGAUUAUAAGUGAGAUUGCUUCAUGUUUCUCUACAUUUAACCUGAUGUUGACCAUUGUUCUGCUGUAUAAUGCUUUUAUGAUGUUUAGGUGUGUGCCUUUAAUUCGUGAUCUUUCCAAUAAUUUUAACAUGAAGGGGUGUUGUAUUUUGCCAAAGGCUUUUUCAGCAUGUAAUCAGAUGAUUAUAUGAUAUUUUUUGACUUUGUUUAUAUAGUGGAUUAUGUUGAUGGAUUUUGGAAUAUUGAACCAUCCCUGCAUCCAUGGGAUAAAGCCUACUUGGUCGUGUUGAAUGAUCCUUUGGAUGUGUUCUUGUGUUGCAAUAAAUCUCUACCCCAAUAAGCCUGUGCAAAACCCACACAACUCAGUUACAAUAUUUAUAAGGUGUGUGGAUAGAUUGGGUAGAUAUAGAGCUACAUUAAUUUGUUCCCCAGCUAUGAGAUUCCUUGUACCAGCGGCUUCUCCAAGCCAUGUGAUUCUGAUUCAUCUUCCUCUAACCGCCUCUCCUCCAUCCUUCUUCCUCUACUCUCUAAAAGCCCCAGCCUCACAUUUCCCUUCCACUGACCAAUCAUAGGCUUUAGCCUUUAUUUUACAAGUUAAAAUGGGGAGAAUGGUCACAUGAAAUCACUUGAGUAUGUGAUCCACUCAUUUUCAAGGUAGCCCCUCUUAAGAAAGCAGAAUUAACAUCAGAGUACAAACUGCCCCAGGGCAACCCACAACAUUCCUCCUUUUUGUCCAAUUAAAAGACUUUUUUCUCUCAGGUAUAAAUUGAUCUCAAUCAUCCCAGUCAUGCAAAUUAUGAAGAAUAAGAUACACUUAACACCCAGGCCAUCAUAUGUGUCAAUUUAGAUAAAGCACUCUACCACCAAUCCUAACUUAAAGAACUUGCAAAUCUCUACCUGAAUUGUGUUCUGGUUUUAGCUUCUUUCACCAUCUGAAAACCAUCCUCUCAAAUCUAUAUCAUCUAUCUCAAUACAAAACAACUUGCCUGUACUAUGAAACUAUAACUUAUCUUCAACCCCCAGAAGAAUCCAUGAACAAAUUAAACAUCACAAAAAAUAACUUCCAAAACUUAACCAAUUUGUAGAGACAGCUAACUAACCUGGACCGUCACUCAUUCCUCAAAAUGUUAGAGCAUCAGUCUUCAGCCUUCUGGCCAGGAUUAUCUGACAGACCUUUGUAAAGCAGAAUUAUAAAGAACUGCUUACCCUGUCUUGACAGAGUUAUCAGUCAAAAAUUCCACAUAGUGUGUCCUUUUCCUGGACAGUAUUUUUGUCUAUAGAUGAAUUGGGGCAAAUCUUACCAGAGUCUAUCUGGCCACAACUGGAGAAACCCCACUGAUGCUCAAUUUCUUCUUUGAACGAAGAAGGGGGUGCUCUCAGGAGAAGACAUGUCUCUACUCAAAUGAUCUUUAAUAAUGAAAUGGCCUUAAAUGUCAUAUUCUGUGGACUUCUGAUGCUUUUGAAGACUAUCUAUGUCAAGUACAGCUGAACUGUUAAAUCCUAACUAUUCUUAGUCAUUUCUAAUUGAGUAACUCAUAAUCAAAUCAGAAUAUAAUGUAACUAUGAGUUUACUAUUUGGCCUUUAACUUGCAUUACUCAAUCAUCCUAGGCAGUUUGUAAUGUCAGUUAUUAGAAGGACUGCAUCUAAGCAUUAUAGUCGACAUAAGUUGCAUAGACACAAUGCCUGUCAGAGAGUAAGCACAUUAAUUUCAAACUUUGCAUCAAUAUAAAAAAUUCACAAUAAAGAAAACCUUAGAUCUAUAUCAAUCUAUAAAUUGUGUACCAAUGUAAAUGUAUAACUUUAAUUUGCAUCAAUUACAAAAACUUCAACCAAUGUAAGAUGUGGCUAUUCGUUGUUUUGUCUAAGACUAAAUUUGAUUACAUAUCCCUAUUUGCCUACUCCUUUAAUUUCUAUGAUACUACUAUAUCUGGCUUUUUCUCUUCUACUCCUCUUUACUUUACCUAAGACGGAAGGAUAGAUAAGAGGAAAGGAAAGGUAGAAAUCCCUGAGUCUAAGCUCUCUAGUUUCCUCCCUGUCCAAAGCUACAACAUUAGCAAAUUAUCCCUUAAAAUGACAACAUAUCUCCAAUUCAUAAAAUAACCAGAACCAUCCACCCCAACCUAAAGGACUGGGACAACAAUCUUCUUUUGCUUUCUUUUAGCUGAAUUGGGGUAAAGAAUUCCCUUCUGGGUGCCCAAAGGGAAAUAGGAAAAUUGGUUUUGUCACAGGAAGGCUAGUUGGCAUCAUUUGCCUUCUAGUCUCUAUGUGCUGAGAAAGUUCAUGGCUUAGUUGAUAUCCUGACUAUAACAGUCUGAAAGGCUGGAUGGGAGAGCUAGCUGUUCUGGAAAUAUCCUGGAAGCAAGUCUUUAGAGGAAACAUCUUCAAUGUAAUUGAGAUAGAAACAAAUAAGGAGCUGGAAUAGAAAGCCCCAGAAUUUCAGCAUCCCAGAGUGUGAGUCUUGUCAGAGCUAUCUUUCUCCUCUAUUAUUCUGCAACACACAAACCUCACAAGCAAUGCAUAACUCUGUAAAAACAUUCGAAUGCAGCCUGCAUGAUUCACAGAUUUGUUAGUAAAGAUCAAUAAAGGAAGACAACUGUCUUUCUUCAUAGAUUAGUUUAAUCGCAUAAAAUCAAACUACAAUCCAAUUUUCCAUUCAUGCCAUCUUAUAGGGUGUAUGUAAUAACAGGUAAUGAGAAUUUUGUACUCAAUAAGUGUUGUUGGCUGGAUAUAGACAUGUAGGUCUCAGCAGGUUCCAGCUCUGUCUCUGUGUACAGACACAUAUAUACAUCACCACAUAUACAUCACCUAUUUUGUUCAUCUUGUUAGUCUCCUUCUUGUCUGCAGCAAAGCUCUUCAGGGCUCUCCCUUGGUCAUAUCUGAUUUUUAUCCAUUUGGAAGGAACCCACAGCUUUUCUCUUCCUGUGG